AGGACUAUACAUCGUUCAGGAAGUCAAACAUUUGUUCAGUGUCUGUCUCAUAGUACUCUUUUU
ensembl:ncRNA C52G5.6 ncRNA